CGGUGCUCGUACACCGCCGCCACAUAGGACGGAUGAUCGGCGGCGACGAUGAGCUGCAGGCCGCUCAAACAGAGCACGAAGCCGGCCAACACGAGCGCCAUGACGAGGGGGAGGCUGAACGCGGACUCAUGUGAGACAGUCUGCGUAAAAGGAUACUGAUUAACGCAUGAUAUUCAAAUAAAGCCAAAGUUCACCUCUGCCAUUCACACUGACAGACCUUAGAGAAACGGCAGACUCUCAGAACAGAGAACGAACGUACAUCACAAACGUGAACGACCUGAAUAUGGCUACUAAAACUCAAAUACUACUACUGGUAGUGGCUGUAAUGGUUGCAAGCUAUGGUCUUACCAGCGCAUCCAACAGCACCAAUUCCACUGCGGCAUCUUUUUCACCUAUGGGCAUCACGGGGCUGUCUGGACUUCUGAUCUACGCAAUCACCUCCACUGCGGUUCUCAAACUCUUCCAGCUGAUCUGAUCAUCAACUCUCUGUUUGUCAACCAGCAUACGGGUUGUUAUUGGAUGUUUAAUCUUUUUUUUAGUAGGCGUUUGAUUGUUGUAAUGAUAAAAUUAUUUGCUUUUACAUUCUAUGAUUUAAUUAAGUAUAAGCUUUUCAUUAAACUCACAAAGCCUCUGCAGUUCCUUCACAAAGUUUGGAAAACCUUGACUUAAUGCUUAAUGUUCAUAACAAGGAAAUUAAUAUUUUGCUCUUUGUAUUUUUAUAUCAGCAAGGUACAAGACAAUGCUAUUUAAUAAAUGUGAUAAACAAGUUGGCUCAAAAUUAAUCUAAAAACAUUCAAGUACUUUGAUUGUAUUACUUAAAAUAUGUAAUGUAAUGGAUUAUGUCACUAAUUACAAUUUUUGUCAUGUAAUUUGGAAACAGACUACAAUUUGUAUCUACCCAGCACGGUGUGUCAGCUACUGGCUUAUGUUCAAAUAAAUGUUAUAAAUCAA